UAGGGAAUAUUGCACAAUGGGCGAAAGCCUGAUGCAGCAACGCCGCGUGCGCGAUGAAGGCCUUCGGGUCGUAAAGCGCUUUUAUGAGGGAUGAGAAAGGACAGUACCUCAGGAAUAAGUCUCGGCUAACUACGUGCCAGCAGCCGCGGUAAAACGUAGGAGGCGAGCGUUAUCCGGAUUCACUGGGCGUAAAGCGCGUGCAGGCGGUUCGGUAAGUUGGUUAUGAAAGCUCCUGGCUUAACUAGGAGAGGUUAUCCAAUACUACCGGGCUAGAGAGUGGUAGAGGAAGAUGGAAUUCCAGGUGUAGUGGUGAAAUGCGUAGAUAUCUGGAGGAACACCAGUGGCGAAAGCGAUCUUCUGGACCAUUUCUGACGCUCAGACGCGAAAGCUAGGGUAGUAAACGGGAUUAGAGACCCCGGUAAUCCUAGCCAUAAACGAUGUGAACUUGGCGUUGGCGGCUUAAACACCGUCAGUGCCGAAGCAAACGCGAUAAGUUCACCGCCUGGGGACUACGGCCGCAAGGUUA
rnacentral:rRNA from 1 species